AACGAACGCUGGCGGCAUGCCUAACACAUGCAAGUCGAACGAUAACUUCUGGACUAGUCGCGCACCGGACGGUAACGCGUUGGAACCUGCCCUUCGGUUCGGAAUAACUUACCGAAAGGGGUGCUAAUUUCGUAUAACGUCCUCGCACCAAAGAUUUGUCGCCUUUGGAUGGGCCCGCGUUGGAUUAGCUAGUUGGUAGGGGAAUAGCCUACCAAGGCGACGAUCCAUAGCUGGUCUGAGAGGAUGAUCAGCCACACUGGGACUGAGACACGGCGCAGACUCCUACGGGAGGCAGCAGUGGGGAAUAUUGGACAGUGGGCGAAGGCCUGAUCCAGCAAUGCCGCGUGAGUGAUGAAGGCCGUAGGGUUGUAAAGCUCUUUUACCCGGGAUGAUAAUGACAGUACCGGGAGAAUAAGCUCCGGCUAACUCCGUG
rnacentral:rRNA from 1 species